rnacentral:tmRNA from 1 species
GGGGAUGAUCCGGUUUCGACGGGGGUAUUGGGGGCUGGAUAAGCGAGCCGCGGACCCUGUACCGCGCAACAACGGGGAAAAUUAAAGUGAACUGACAACAACAGUUACGCUUUCGCGGCCUAAUUAGGCGGCGACGCUGGCCCGGAUUGCCCGCGUGUCCGGUACCCGGCGCCAUUUUCGCGGGGAACGAGCGUGCCUAAGCUUUGCCGCACGUCCGUAACAUGAAGCUACUGAGGCCGACAGCCCGUCUGCGGGCGGCCGGCUGAGGGAAUUCCAAAACGCAGACUGCGCUCGGAGAAAAUCUGGCUUUUGAGCCUUCGGACAGGGGUUCGACUCCCCUCAUCUCCA